CAGGAAGUGCUUGCACUUNGCUGACGAGUGGCGGACGGGUGAGUAAUGCUUGGGAACUUGCCUUUGCGAGGGGGAUAACAGUUGGAAACGACUGCUAAUACCGCAUAAUGUCUACGGACCAAACGGGGCUUAGGCUUCGGCGCAGAGAGAGGCCCAAGUGAGAUUAGCUAGUUGGUGGGGUAAAGGCUCACCAAGGCGACGAUCUCUAGCUGUUCUGAGAGGAAGAUCAGCCACACUGGGACUGAGACACGGCCCAGACUCCUACGGGAGGCAGCAGUGGGGAAUAUUGCACAAUGGGGGGAACCCUGAUGCAGCCAUGCCGCGUGUGUGAAGAAGGCCUUCGGGUUGUAAAGCACUUUCAGUUGUGAGGAAAAGUGAGUAGUUAAUACCUGCUCACCGUGACGUUAACAACAGAAGAAGCACCGGCUAACUCCGUGCCAGCAGCCGCGGUAAUACGGAGGGUGCGAGCGUUAAUCGGAAUUACUGGGCGUAAAGCGCACGCAGGCGGUUUGUUAAGCUAGAUGUGAAAGCCCCGAGCUCAACUUGGGAUGGUCAUUUAGAACUGGCAGACUAGAGUCUUGGAGAGGGGAGUGGAAUUCCAGGUGUAGCGGUGAAAUGCGUAGAUAUCUGGAGGAACAUCAGUGGCGAAGGCGACUCCCUGGCCAAAGACUGACGCUCAUGUGCGAAAGUGUGGGUAGCGAACAGGAUUAGAUACCCUGGUAGUCCACACCGUAAACGCUGUCUACUAGCUGUUUGUGGCUUUAAGCCGUGAGUAGCGAAGCUAACGCGAUAAGUAGACCGCCUGGGGAGUACGGCCGCAAGGUUAAAACUCAAAUGAAUUGACGGGGGCCCGCACAAGCGGUGGAGCAUGUGGUUUAAUUCGAUGCAACGCGAAGAACCUUACCUACACUUGACAUGCAGAGA
rnacentral:rRNA from 1 species